rnacentral:rRNA from 1 species
CGGGAGGAUCCAAGUCGUUAUCCGGAAUCAUUGGGUUUAAAGGGUCCGUAGGCGGUCUUGUAAGUCAGUGGUGAAAGCCCAUCGCUCAACGGUGGAACGGCCAUUGAUACUGCAGGACUUGAAUUAUAGGGAAGUAACUAGAAUAUGUAGUGUAGCGGUGAAAUGCUUAGAGAUUACAUGGAAUACCAAUUGCGAAGGCAGGUUACUACCAAUUGAUUGACGCUGAUGGACGAAAGCGUGGGUAGCGAACAGGAUUAGAUACCCUGGUAGUCCACGCCGUAAACGAUGGAUACUAGCUGUUGGGAGCAAUUUCAGUGGCUAAGCGAAAGUGAUAAGUAUCCCACCUGGGGAGUACGAACGCAAGUUUG